rnacentral:lncRNA from 1 species
ACAAUUAGCAUUAGCCUUUCUUCUCUCUCUCUCUCUCUCUUUCGCUCUCAAUGCGUUUCGACCCCAUUUACUCCAACUUGUCUUUUCUUCUGCAACAAAAGAAUAGCGUUUAGCAUACAGAGAGUUCCAUGAGAUGAUAGACAAGGAAAAGGAAAGAUGAUUUUAAUAGCUUUUGAGUUUUUAACCAUUUUUUAUUCUACUUAGAAAAAAAAAAAAAAAGAAUCAAUAUUUGAUAUCUAUCUCAGAUAGAGAGAUAUGGAUGGACCAGAUGGUAUUAAUGGGUUUUAGAAUCUGGAUAUAGGUCAAAGAUUUUAGUCCAGUGAGAGAGAAACAUACUUUUAUAAGGGCCAAGGAGAAAACUUGUUUCUUCUUGUUGGGUAAGAGGGCCUUUCUAUAUAGGAGAAAGAAAUAAAAACAAAAACAGGAUUCCCUUUCUUUUCUUGCUUGGUUUCUUGAUUCAAAAACAUGGGUAUGGAGAG